rnacentral:rRNA from 1 species
UAAGGAAUAUUGGUCAAUGGACGCAAGUCUGAACCAGCCAUGCCGCGUGGAGGAUUAAGGCCCUCUGGGUUGUAAACUCCUUUUAUCUGGGAAGAAAUGUACUUUUUCUUGAGUACUUGACGGUACCAGAGGAAUAAGCACCGGCUAACUCCGUGCCAGCAGCCGCGGUAAUACGGAGGGUGCAAGCGUUAUCCGGAUUCACUGGGUUUAAAGGGUGCGUAUGUGGGCAGGUAAGUCAGUGGUGAAAUCUCCGGGCUUAACCCGGAAACUGCCGUUGAUACUAUUUGUCUUGAAUAUUGUGGAGGUAAGCGGAAUAUGUCAUGUAGCGGUGAAAUGCUUAGAUAUGACAUAGAACACCAAUUGCGAAGGCAGCUUACUACACAAUCAUUGACGCUGAGGCACGAAAGCGUGGGGAUCAAACA